AACGAACGCUGGCGGCAUGCCUAACACAUGCAAGUCGAACGAGACCUUCGGGUCUAGUGGCGCACGGGUGCGUAACGCGUGGGAACCUGCCCUUAGGUUCGGAAUAACUCCCCGAAAGGGGUGCUAAUACCGGAUAAUGUCUUCGGACCAAAGAUUUAUCGCCUUUGGAUGGGCCCGCGUUGGAUUAGCUAGUUGGUAGGGUAAAAGCCUACCAAGGCGACGAUCCAUAGCUGGUUUGAGAGGAUGAUCAGCCACACUGGGACUGAGACACGGCCCAGACUCCUACGGGAAGCAGCAGUGGGGAAUAUUGGACAAUGGGCGAAAGCCUGAUCCAGCAAUGCCGCGUGAGUGAUGAAGGCCUUAGGGUUGUAAAGCUCUUUUACCCGGGAUGAUAAUGACAGUACCGGGAGAAUAAGCUCCGGCUAACUCCGUG
rnacentral:rRNA from 1 species